GUGUCCAUUUUGCUGCACCGGUGUCAAAGACAAGCAGCGUAUGGUGGUUCUCAUCUGUAAUUGAUUGGCUUACUCAUCAGAAUCAGAUGCAGAUUUCCAGUAAUUUUCCAACUUCUUCUUUGAUAUUUCAUCCAGCCUGUUGUAGACCUCAUACAUGUGCAACUGAAGGACAACUUUUCCCCUUCAAGUAGUUCAUGUUGUUCCUGUAGCUGUCUCCUAUUUGAUUUGAGUGCAUGAAGUUCCCCUUGAUUCUAUAGCAGUCUGCAUCAUAUCCCUUCGAGUAUCUGCAUUUUCAAU